CAAGAAAACUGCCAUAAAAAUGUCCUCGCCUUGUCCUGAGGUGCACACCAGCCCUAAAGCCAGAGCGGCUCAGCCGAAGGCCGUGAGGGGAGAGUGCUCUGCCCUCACACCUCUGCACGUCAAAAUGGCGGCCGCGCCGCAGGGCGGGAAGGGGCACUGUGAGGGAGGCCAAGGCAGAGCUUUCUGCUGCUGCAGUGCCACGUUCUUUAAAUGGAACUCCUGCAUUUGUUGGAUCCAGGCUUCCACUGUGCUGACACAAAGAACAGUCAGGAGUGAGGGCCCCAGGCCUCAAGGCUGUGACAUGGACUGCAGGAGCUCUGCCUGCCCCCUUAAUGACUGCCACCAAAAAGUAUGCUAAUGAAAUUCUGCAGAAAGCAAACACUGAGAGAUAUUACUACCACAAAAGAGGAUUAACGGCUCAAACAGGAAAUAAAUAGAUACUGUGGCAACUGGAAUAACAGACAUGGAAUGAAAUUUAAAAGCAUAUAAUGUAUGUAUGAAAAACCAACAGCAGGAGCUCAGCCCUUGGAAACCAAACACAGAACAGGUCCUUUAGCUGAACAGAGGCUACCUGUAAGUCACUGCUGUGAAGACAACUGUGGCAAACUGAACACAAUCCUAAAAUAUUUAAGGAUACAGUGUGCUCAAGAAUGCCGAACUUGUUUGGUUUUGUAUGAGUUAUGAGUGGACUUUGAAGUUCCAGGAGCCAGCUGAGGUAGCUCACCAACACACUUCAUGUUGGAAAGAGAGAAAUGGAAAUUGUCUUAACACAGCAAGUACGUAAGUCUGUCAGGGCAGGAGAGCUUUACUCCCU